rnacentral:rRNA from 1 species
GAUGAACGCUGGCGGCGUGCCUAACCAUGCAAGUCGAGCGUGAUUAAGUGGAGUGAGGACUUCGGUCUGAGUGAAACUUAUGAAAGCGGCGGACGGGUGAGUAACGCGUGGGCAACCUGCCCCAUACAAAGGGAUAGCCACUGGAAACGGUGAUUAAUACCUUAUAAGUCGGUAGUCUCGCAUGAGAUAGCCGACAAAGAUUUAUCGGUAUGGGGAUGGGCCCGCGUCUGAUUAGCUAGUUGGUGAGGUAACGGCUCACCAAGGCGACGAUCAGUAGCCGACCUGAGAGGGUGAUCGGCCACACUGGAACUGAGACACGGUCCAGACUCCUACGGGAGGCAGCAGUGGGGAAUAUUGCACAAUGGGCGCAAGCCUGAUGCAGCAACGCCGCGUGAGUGAAGAAGGCCUUCGGGUUGUAAAACUCUGUCCUAUGGGAAGAAACAAAUGACGGUACCAUGGGAGGAAGCCCCGGCUAACUACGUG